rnacentral:rRNA from 1 species
UACGUAGGGACCGAGCGUUGUCCGGAUUCAUUGGGCGUAAAGAGCUCGUAGGCGGCUGCUCAAGUCGAAUGUGAAAACUCGAGGCUCAACCUCGAGCCUGCAUUCGAUACUGGGCGGCUAGAGUCGUGUAGGGGGAGUCUGGAAUUCCUGGUGUAGCGGUGGAAAUGCGCAGAUAUCAGGAGGAACACCGGUGGCGAAGGCGGGACUG